UAGGGAAUCUUCCGCAAUGGGCGAAAGCCUGACGGAGCAACGCCGCGUGAGUGAUGAAGGUCUUCGGAUUGUAAAACUCUGUUAUUAGGGAAUAACAAAUGUGUAAGUAACUAUGCACGUCUUGACGGUACCUAAUCAGAAAGCCACGGCUAACUACGUGCCAGCAGCCGCGGUAAUACGUAGGUGGCAAGUGUUACCCGGAAUCAUUGGGCGUAAAGCGCGCGUAGGCGGUUUUUUAAGUCUGAUGUGAAAGCCCACGGCUCAACCGUGGAGGGUCAUUGGAAACUGGAAAACUUGAGUGCAUAAGAGGAAAGUGGAAUUCCAUGUGUGGCGGUGAAAUGCGCAGAGAUAUGGAGGAAAACCAGUGGCGAAGGCGACUUUCUGGUCAGUAACUGACGCUGAUGUGCGAAAGCGUGGGGAUCAAACAGG
rnacentral:rRNA from 1 species